GCGGUUAAAAAGCUCGUAGUUGGAUUUCGGAGUUGUUAUCUGAACCUUUCUCGCCAUAAAAAGUGGGGGGCUAAGGUAGCAGUAGUUUUCAUCAUAGUCCACCAGGAUACUCUCUUGGUGUGUACUGGGUGUUAACCUCCUUUUUUUCUGGUACUUGCUAUCCAGCAAUGGGUAGUUUUGUCCAGAUAGUUUACUUUGAAAAAAUUAGAGUGUUCAAAGCAGGCAUAAUUGGCAUCAUGAAUACAUUAGCAUGGGAUAAUAGAAUAUGACAUUGGUCUUAUUUUGUUGGUUUCUAAGGCCAAAGUAAUGAUUGAUAGGGAUAGUUGGGGCCGCUCGUAUUGAGUUGUCAGAGGUGAAAUUCUAGGAUUUACUCAAGACGAACUAAUGCGAAAGCAUUCGGCAAGGAUGUUUUCAUUAAUCAAGAACGAAAGUUGGG
rnacentral:rRNA from 1 species